ACUCAAAUGAAUUGACGGGGGCCCGCACAAGCGGUGGAGCAUGUGGAUUAAUACGUCACUAACCGUAGAACCUUACCCAGGCUUGACAUCUGCGGAAAGCGGGUGAAAGCCCGCCGUGCCCCGCAAGGGGAACCGCAAGACAGGUGUUGCAUGGCUGUCGUCAGCUCGUGUCGUGAGAUGUUGGGUUAAGUCCCGCAACGAGCGCAACCCUCACCGCCUGUUGCCAGCAUUCAGUUGGGCACUCUGGCGGAACUGCCCGGGUAACCGGGAGGAAGGUGGGGACGACGUCAAGUCAGCAUGGCCCGUACGCCUGGGGCUUCACACAUGCUACAAUGGCCGGUACAGAGGGUCCCGAGCCCGCGAGGGGGAGGCAAUCCCAAAAAGCCGGUCUCAGUUCGGAUCGCAGGCUGCAACUCGCCUGCGUGAAGUCGGAAUCGCUAGUAACCGCCGGUCAGCUAAACGGCGGUGAAUACGUUCCCGGGCCUUGUACACACCGCCCGU
rnacentral:rRNA from 1 species